rfam:Parcubacteria bacterium GW2011_GWB1_44_7 TW71_C0010, whole genome shotgun sequence.
GCUGGGAUAGCUCAGUUAGUAGAGCAUUCGCCUGAAGAGCGAAGGGUCCCCGGUGCAAACCCGGGUCCCAGCA